rnacentral:rRNA from 1 species
UACGUAGGGUGCGAGCGUUGUCCGGAAUUAUUGGGCGUAAAGGGCGCGUAGGCGGGCUGCCAAGUCUGGGGUGAAAUCCCACGGCUCAACCGUGGAACUGCCUCGGAUACUGGCGGCCUCGAGGGAGGUAGGGGCGUGCGGAACUGUGGGUGGAGCGGUGAAAUGCGUAGAGAUGGGGGAGAACACUCGUGGCGAAGGCGGCCAGCUAGACCAGUUCUGACACUGAGGCGCGACAGCGUGGGGAGCAAACAGG